UACGAAGGGUGCAAGCGUUAAUCGGAAUUAUUGGGCGUAAAGGGCGCGUAGGCGGUUUGACAAGUCUGAUGUGAAAUCUCUGGGCUCAACCCAGAGUCUGCAUUAGAAACUGUCGGGCUUGAGUAUGGGAGAGGUGAGUGGAAUUUCCGGUGUAGCGGUGAAAUGCGUAGAUAUCGGAAGGAACACCUGUGGCGAAAGCGGCUCACUGGACCAUAACUGACGCUGAGGCGCGAAAGCUAGGGGAGCAAACAGG
rnacentral:rRNA from 1 species